rnacentral:pre_miRNA from 1 species
GUGUUACUCCCUCCGUCCCAAAAUUCUUGUCUUAGAUUUGUCUAGAUACGGAUAUAUCUAAUACUAAAAUGUGACUUGAUACAUCCGUAUUUAGACAAAUCUAAGACAAGAAUUUUGGGACGGAGGGAGUACAAA